ACGAUAUAUAUUAUUGUGUGAGGACAUAGUUAGGUCACUCACUGUCCAAUAUGAAUAUGAGUAAUAUGUGUGGAGCUACAAUACUUGUAUUGUUUCUCUUUGUAUUCCUUGCACAAUGUCGUCCUCAUGAGCUUGAUGUCGUUGGAACUUCUUAUGGUAUCACCAAAAGAAAAGAUGUAUUUUGUCAGGCGGGUCACAUAGAUAAUAAAUUGGUCUACUACUGCAUGCAUCAGAAGCCAAAACCAAUAUGCUAUGACACUUUGCAGGAGUGUCUUGCCAAAUGCCUAUAGCCAAUGAUAGAUGCACAAUCUGUGCAAACCUUAAGGCCAUUUGAUCGAUGGUAUUAAACUUAAACCAUCAUUGAUAACCUAAAUAAUGUAGGCCUCAUCGAUUGGCAACAAUAGGAGCUUGUUUUGUUUGUAUGCCACUAUCUAUCAUUGGACUCCUUGAAUCUUAAGUUAUUGCUAAGCAGAAGAUUCAGAGGUGACCUUGUGCAUGGAAGCCUAGUGCUAUGGAAGGAAGUGUCAUGGUGGUGGUGAAAGCGAUUGGUCGUGGUCGCUGGGUUUAGUGGAUACACUUUCUCAUUUCAAGUCUACCCACAUAUGUUUUGCGGUGAUAUUUGCCUGA